AGAGGGUGCGAGCGUUGUCCGGAAUCACUGGGCGUAAAGGGCGCGUAGGCGGUUUUGUAAGUUGGGGGUGAAAUGCUGCGGCUCAACCGCAGCGCUGCCCUCAAGACUGCAAGACUGGAGCACUGUAGAGGCAGGCGGAAUUCCGGGUGUAGCGGUGGAAUGCGUAGAGAUCCGGAAGAACACCGGUGGCGAAGGCGGCCUGCUGGGCAGUUGCUGACACUGAGGCGCGACAGCGUGGGGAGCAAACAGGAUUAGAUACCCUGGUAGUCCACGCCGUAAACGAUGGGCACUAGGCGCUUGGGGGAGCGACCCCCCGAGGGCCGGCGCUAACGCAUUAAGUGCCCCGCCUGGGGAGUACGGCCGCAAGGCUG
rnacentral:rRNA from 1 species